rnacentral:rRNA from 1 species
CCUACGGAGGGCAGCAGUGGGGAAUAUUGGACAAUGGGGGCAACCCUGAUCCAGCCAUGCCGCGUGUGUGAAGAAGGCCCUCGGGUUGUAAAGCACUUUCAGUGAGGAAGAACGCCUGGUGGUUAAUACCCAUCAGGAAAGACAUCACUCACAGAAGAAGCACCGGCUAACUCCGUGCCAGCAGCCGCGGUAAUACGGAGGGUGCGAGCGUUAAUCGGAAUUACUGGGCGUAAAGCGCGCGUAGGUGGCUUGAUAAGCCGGUUGUGAAAGCCCCGGGCUCAACCUGGGAACGGCAUCCGGAACUGUCAAGCUAGAGUGCAGGAGAGGAAGGUAGAAUUCCCGGUGUAGCGGUGAAAUGCGUAGAGAUCGGGAGGAAUACCAGUGGCGAAGGCGGCCUUCUGGACUGACACUGACACUGAGGUGCGAAAGCGUGGGUAGCAAACAGGAUUAGAUACCCCGGUAGUC